rnacentral:rRNA from 1 species
ACGUAGGGGGCAAGCGUUGUCCGGAUUUAUUGGGCGUAAAGAGCGUGUAGGCGGCCUGGCAAGUCCGCUGUGAAAACUCGAGGCUUAACCUCGAGACGUCGGUGGAAACUGCCUGGCUAGAGUCCGGAAGAGGAGAGUGGAAUUCCUGGUGUAGCGGUGAAAUGCUUAGAUAUGACAUAGAACACCGAUUGCGAAGGCAGCUCACUACACGAAUAUUGACGCUGAGGCACGAAAGCGUGGGGAUCAAACAGGA